rnacentral:lncRNA from 1 species
GUUAGGUGGAUGGAUAGGUAGGUAGGUGAAUGAGCAGGUGGCUAGGUGGAUGAGCAGGCGGCUAGGUGGAUGGGUAGGUAGGUAGGUGAAUGAGCAGGUGGUUAGGUGGAUGGUUAGGUGGAUGAGCAGAUGGUUAGGUGGAUGGGUAGGUAGGUAGGUGGAUGAGCAGAUGGUUAGGUGGAUGGGUAGGUAGGUAGGUGAAUGAGCAGGUGGUGGCUAGGUGGGUGGGUGGAUGGGUAGGUGGAUGGGUGGAUGGGCAGGUAGUUAGGUGGAUGAACAGGUGGCUAGGUGGAUGGUUAGGUGGAUGGAUAGGUAGGUAGGUGAAUGAGCAGGUGGCUAGGUGGAUGGGCAGGUAGGUAGGUGGCUGAGCAGGUGGCUAGGUGGAUGGGUAGGUAGGUAGGUGAAUGAGCAGGUGGCUAGGUGGAUGGGCAGGUAGGUAGGUGGAUGGGUAGGUAAGUAGGUGAAUGAGCAGGUGGCUAGGUGGAUGGGCAGGUAGGUAGGUGGAUGAGCAGGUGGCUAGGUGGAUGGUUAGGUGGAUGGGUAGGUAGGUAGGUGAAUGAGCAGGUGGCUAGGUGGAUGGGUUGGUGGAUGGAUGGAUGGGUAGGUGGUUGGGUAGAUUGGUGAAUGGGUGGAUAGGUAGGUAGAUGGGUGCCUAGAUAGGCAGAUGGGUGAAUGGGUAGAUGGGUAGGUAGAUGGGUAGAUGGGUGGACGGUGGGUAGAUGGCUGGGUGGAUGGGUGAAUAGGUAGGUGGAUGGGUAGAUGGGCUGGCCAGGGCUAUACCUUGGAGCAGUCAUCCUUGC